AUGCUUUGGAGGAAGAAUGAAUUAACCCAUGAUCAUUCAUUCCUGUUUUCCAUUGCAAGGUAUUCCUACCAUCAGGAACUGUGGGACCUUGCUACUCAUGGGAGUGAUGUCUUCACACUCAGAGUGAGGCAGACCCUUCUGGCUCCAUGUUCCACCACACUCAACAAGAUUUUCUUGAAAGUAAAGCCUGGGAUUGAUGCAGAUACCAUUAACAGCGAGAGGCUUGUUGCUGUACGCUUCUCACAUCAGCUUUGGCCUUUACUUAGGUAUUUUACAUAGCAAAAUCAUGAAUCACUUGCUGUUUGGUGUCAGUUGUCUUUGGCUUGUAUUGCUGAUUUUCUUUUCCUUUUUCUUGGCAAAGGGUCUCCAUCCAGCCAAAGAUUUCAGGGAAUUUUGCCAGUGCCCUUUGAUCUGAUCCAGCUUUAAAGCUAGAGUGAAGUUUUAUAACAAUCCAAACAAGAAAUGGAAUAAUGCUUCAAUAGAGAAAACAGAGCUCUGCUGCGUGAGAGGGAUAUAAAAGGGUUUGUAAACAAGACAGCAGUGAAUUUUAUUUUGAGCUGAGGGCUGAAAGACACCCAAGAAAACCAGAGUUCUCAAACCACAAACAUGCCUUUUGAUUCAUCUUCCUCUAUUCCCUGUGUCUUACGUUCUUCUUCCUAGUUUGAUUCUGAUACAUCUCAUUAGUGUUCAUUUGACAUUAGUCUAAGAGAAAGGCAUUACAGAAUGCAAAACAAGUGCAUGAAUGAUUGACUGACAAUUUCAUUUUCUGCAUAAAUUGUUGUAAUCUUUGUUCUGUUUCAAGGAGAAGAUGUGCAUACAGCCUCAUCUCCGCUCUUGGGGUCUAUUUUACUAAGAAAGUGUCAGUACUGAAAGCUCUCUAUAUGAAAUCGCAGAUUGGCUUCUGUAUCUGGACCUCACUCUAAAUCUUACAGUGUUGCAUGUAAUUCAGAAAUCUAAGGAAUUACACUUCUUCUGUUUGAACAACAAUAAUUAAUCUUUCCCUUCCUGCGGGAUUUGAAGGGGGCAAAGGGAAGCCCUUAGUGCUGUUGCAAGGGAGAGAGGGAGAACUGCCAGAGUGCACACACAGUAUAUGUACUUUUGUUCAGUCCUAGAUAACACUCUUUAGAGUAUACUCUCCUGUAAACUGUUCAGACCAGGUUUGUAAUGAAGAAAUACCAGUAUCAAUUUUGUGCAUUGACAUAGUACUUCAAUUUAACAAAUUAAUAAAAUAGAAUUACUAAUAGGCUUUAAGAUGAGU
rnacentral:lncRNA from 1 species